ensembl:lncRNA
AUGGCCACCAGACUAUUUACAUUGACCCCCCCCCCCCACUCCAUUUGUUUUUGUACACUGCUGCUACUCACUGUUUAUUAUCUACACAUAGUCACUUCACCCCCACCUACAUGUACACUGCUGCUACUCUCUGUUUAUUAUCUACACAUAGUCACUUCACCCCUACCUACAUGUACACUGCUGCUACUCUCUGUUUAUUAUCUAUACAUAGUCACUUCACCCCCACCUACAUGUACACUGCUGCUACUCUCUGUUUAUUAUCUACACAUAGUCACUUCACCCCUACCUACAUGUACACUGCUGCUACUCUCUGUUUAUUAUCUACACAUAGUCACUUCACCCCUACCUACAUGUACACUGCUGCUACUCACUGUUUAUUAUCUACACAUAGUCACUUCACCCCUACCUACAUGUACACUGCUGCUACUCACUGUUUAUUAUCUACACAUAGUCACUUCACCCCUACCUACAUGUACACUGCUGCUACUCUCUGUUUAUUAUCUACACAUAGUCACUUUACCCCUACCUACAUGUACACUGCUGCUACUCUCUGUUUAUUAUCUACACAUAGUCACUUUACCCCUACCUACAUGUACACUGCUGCUACUCUCUGUUUAUUAUCUACACAUAGUCACUUUACCCCUACCUACAUGUACACUGCUGCUACUCUCUGUUUAUUAUCUACACAUAGUCACUUCACCCCCACCUACAUGUACACUGCUGCUACUCUCUGUUUAUUAUCUACACAUAGUCACUUCACCCCUACCUACAUGUACACUGCUGCUACUCUCUGUUUAUUAUCUACACAUAGUCACUUUACCCCUACCUACAUGUACACUGCUGCUACUCUCUGUUUAUUAUCUAUACAUAGUCACUUCACCCCUACCUACAUGUACACUGCUGCUACUCUCUGUUUAUUAUCUACACAUAGUCACUUUACCCCUACCUACAUGUACACUGCUGCUACUCUCUGUUUAUUAUCUACACAUAGUCACUUUACCCCUACCUACAUGUACACUGCUGCUACUCUCUGUUUAUUAUCUACACAUAGUCACUUUACCCCUACCUACAUGUACACUGCUGCUACUCACUGUUUAUUAUCUACACAUAGUCACUUCACCCCUACCUACAUGUACACUGCUGCUACUCUCUGUUUAUUAUCUACACAUAGUCACUUCACCCCUACCUACAUGUACACUGCUGCUACUCUCUGUUUAUUAUCUACACAUAGUCACUUCACCCCUACCUACAUGUACACUGCUGCUACUCUCUGUUUAUUAUCUACACAUAGUCACUUUACCCCUACCUACAUGUACACUGCUGCUACUCUCUGUUUAUUAUCUACACAUAGUCACUUCACCCCCACCUACAUGUACACUGCUGCUACUCUCUGUUUAUUAUCUACACAUAGUCACUUCACCCCUACCUACAUGUACACUGCUGCUACUCACUGUUUAUUAUCUACACAUAGUCACUUCACCCCUACCUACAUGUACACUGCUGCUACUCUCUGUUUAUUAUCUACACAUAGUCACUUCACCCCUACCUACAUGUACACUGCUGCUACUCUCUGUUUAUUAUCUACACAUAGUCACUUCACCCCUACCUACAUGUACACUGCUGCUACUCUCUGUUUAUUAUCUACACAUAGUCACUUCACCCCCACCUACAUGUACACUGCUGCUACUCUCUGUUUAUUAUCUACACAUAGUCACUUUACCCCUACCUACAUGUACACUGCUGCUACUCUCUGUUUAUUAUCUACACAUAGUCACUUCACCCCUACCUACAUGUACACUGCUGCUACUCUCUGUUUAUUAUCUACACAUAGUCACUUUACCCCUACCUACAUGUACACUGCUGCUACUCUCUGUUUAUUAUCUACACAUAGUCACUUUACCCCUACCUACAUGUAGAAAUGACCUCCACUAA